rnacentral:rRNA from 1 species
CAGUAGCCGCGGGAAUACGUAGGUGGCAAGCGUUGUCCGGAAUUAUUGGGCGUAAAGGGCUCGCAGGCGGUUUCUUGAGUCUGAUGUGAAAGCCCCCGGCUCAACCGGGGAGGGUCAUUGGAAACUGGGAAACUUGAGUGCAGAAGAGGAGAGUGGAAUUCCACGUGUAGCGGUGAAAUGCGUAGAGAUGUGGAGGAACACCAGUGGCGAAGGCGACUCUCUGGUCUGUAACUGACGCUGAGGAGCGAAAGCGUGGGGAGCGAACAGGAUUAGAUACCCCGGUAGUCCCUGUCUCUUAUAC